UAGGCGUAGUGUAAAUCUUCCAAGACAAGCAGUGCCUACUCCUGGGAGUAUACCUGCUAAAGAACACCCGACUAACACUCCUUUGUUCAUAGGUUUGUUGCAAGAGAGAAAACAGAACUCUAUCAUGCAGCAUCACAGAGACAUCCACAACAGGCUUGGAACCUCUAGACCCCUGACAGAGACUUCUGACAACUGGAACAAAUACUGAUGCCAGCUGCCAUUCGGCCAGAACUAAAGAGGGAUGGGACAAAUACUUUGUCAGUAAGAAAAAUACUUUCAUCUAUAUGUUUAUAGCAGAAGUUUGGUGAAACUCAGAAACUGAGGCUGCUAUUCCAGGCUUUGGAGGAGAGCGGGUUCCAAUGCGUUCAGAAUCUUCUGCCCAUUCUCUCCCCAGUCUUGACCUCUUCAGCUGGUCUGAUUCAGUCCUGCCUCUUCCCUGCCCCUGGCUUGCCUCAGUUCCAGCAUAGUCCCAAACUCCACUCAGGAGGUGUCUCAUUUCAGUCUCAGUCUUCUUGGCCAGAUAUACUUCUAAGUCAACACCUCCAAGCUGACUGCUCAAGACUCUCCUCCUUCUCACUCCUCCUGAACUCAUUGCCAGCCAACUCCAACCUCUUUGUCCUCUACCACCAUCUCCCUGGCUCUUUACCAAGACAGAUUUUGUUCUUUCCAUACUCUGCCUUGUCCAAUCCAUUUCUUCACAACACCAACACCUUACAGCAUUCCAAUAACAUACUCAAUGACACUGAAAGAACCAGUCAACCCUCAAAUCUCUCCACACACACACACAUACCAAAGCUGAAAAAUCUGUCCUCUCUAAAGGCCUUAAUUUCUUUCCGGCAAAAUACCCUAAUAAUAUACUACAAUGUGAAGAACUAGAAGAAUUUUUCUGAUGCUUCCAUCUCAAGGAAUAUUUCCACGACCAAAACAAAUCCACUUUCAACAACACUUCAUCUUUUGACAACAUCAAGGAAAAGAUGAACCCCCAAAAAACAAAAAAAAAUCCCCAUCAGAUUGGACACCUCACAGUGAAUGAAAUUCAAACCUUGACCACUAUACUGACUGCUUCUGUGAAAGAAUGAACGAUGAAACAAUCAACCACAAACACUACCAUAACAACCUCUCCUUCUCAAAAGGAAGGGCCAUAGACUCUCUACGAUCCAACCGCCAAAUGCUAAUAAAACCAGCAGAUAAAGGAGCUAUAGUUAUUCUUAACUGUGAAGACUACAUAAAAGAAGCCAACAGACAACUUUCUGAUCACUGACUACGAAAAACUAGAGGAAGAUCCAACUCCCUUUUUCACUGUAAAACUCAAAACCACCAUCAAAUAAUUUCUAUCUGAACUACAAGAAAAACUACAGAACUUGAUCCCACCUCCCUCCACUACCCAACCCAGGGACUUUUUACAUGCUCCCUAAAAUCCACAAACAAGGGAACCCAGGCAGACCUAAAGUAUCCAAUGAUGGAAUCCUAACUUAGGAAAUACCAGAUUUAAUCAAAUCCAUCCUAAAACCUCUUGUCACCCAAAUAGCAAAUAUUAUCCAAGACACAACAGGCUUUCUACAAAAACUUAAAAACACAGACCACCUUCCCAGCAAUACCCUCCUAGCCACCACGGAUGUUACCAGUUUAUAUACAAACAUCCCCACACCAGGAUGGCAUCUAAGCCUGCCUUACAUGUCUACAAGAGUAAGUUUACAAUUCAGAGUACAGACCUAAAAAUAUUACUGAACUUAUACACUUCAUCCUCACACACAACUUCUCUUUCAAUAACCAACACUUCCUCCAGACCAUGGGCACAGCUAUGGGCACCAAAAUGGCCCCACAGUAUGCCAACCUUUUUAUGGGCCACAUGGAAGAAGAAUUCCUCAAGAACUGCAUCAUCAAAUCCAUGCUAUACCAAAGAUAUAUGGAUGACAUUUUCAUCAUUUGGACCAAAAAUUUGCAUGAUUGAUUUCCAUCACAAAUUCAAUAAUCAUCACCCCUCCAUCAGAUUAUUUCUUGAAUACUCCAGCACCAACAUUUCCUUGUUAGACACUAUGAUCAACAUCCAGAAUGGUAAAAUACAGACCACCAUAUACAAGAAGGCUAUGGACCAACAUGCAUAUAUAUCUACACAGAACCAGCAAUCACCCUAAACACACCAAGACAACUGUAAUAUACAGCCAAGCCCUCUAAUACCACUGAAUUUGCACUGAGAACAUUUGCGAUUGUCACCUUGCAAAUCUCAAAAGGGCUUUCACUCAACAAGGACACACCUCCAGAGAGAUAGAUCAUACUUCUGAAAAAGCCAGCCGGAUACCACAUGAAGAACUGCUGCAGUACAAAAAGAAAGUCCUCUCAAAUAGCACAAAAUUAGUUAUGACAUACCAUCCUUAUAAACUGCCUGUCAUUCAGUAACCCAGGUAAUCUCUCUACAUUUUACCAGUUACAUUCUAUCACCAGGUCAACAGUCCCCACUUUUUCCUUCCCCACCUACCUGUCUCACACCUAUUGCUUCCCAUUGCCUCUGAUCCUCACUGCCAUGCAUUUAUAUUUUCUCAGGCCUGCAUUUUGCAUAUUGGCUUCUAUUCCACCAUGGAGAACACAAAACACCAUCAAACUCUCCCUAUGCCUAAAAAAGGGUGUUUGUGCCUGAAAGCUUGCAAAGAACAAUUUUUCAAACUAUUUAAUUGGUCUAAUAAAAUAUAUCAAAUUUACCCAAAGAACCA